UACAGAGGGUGCGAGCGUUGUUCGGAAUUAUUGGGCGUAAAGGGCGCGUAGGCGGUGCGGUAAGUCACCUGUGAAAUCUCCUGGCUCAACUGGGAGCUUGCAGGCGAAACUGAUCGGCUUGAAGAUGGGAGAGGGUAGUGGAAUUCCCGGUGUAGUGGUGAAAUGCGUAGAUAUCGGGAGGAACACCAGUGGCGAAGGCGACUACCUGGCCCAUUCUUGACGCUGAGGCGCGAAAGCUAGGGGAGCGAACGGG
rnacentral:rRNA from 1 species